GGGCAUAUACUCAACUAGUACAUCACUAUCUUAAGUAUUGGAGGAAGUCUCAAUUUGUAAAUAUUAUAAUUAUGGGUGGAGGCAAGUUACACUGCAUUGAGACAAGAGCUUUAGCUUAAUCACUAGUAAGACCACUUGGAUUAGUUUGUUCAAACUCAUUACUUGAUGGUUAUGAUUUUAAAAUUGUUGUAAAUGAUUUUACACGCAUCAUCUCUGUUUAUAAUAUAGAAUUUUAUAAGAAUUUAAUUU
rnacentral:misc_RNA from 1 species